AUCCAGCUGGCGAGUCCGAUAUAGGGCGAAACGAGCGUUCUAGAU
rnacentral:hammerhead_ribozyme from 1 species